GACGUCGGAGGCGAGCGUUGUCCGGAUUCAUUGGGCGGAAAGAGCACGCAGGCGGUUUGGCAAGGCGGAUGUGAAAACCCGAAGCUCAACUUCGGGCCUGCAUCCGAAACUGCCCGACUAGAGGUAGGUAGGGGAGAUCGGAAUUCCUGGUGUAGCGGUGAAAUGCGCAGAUAUCAGGAGGAACACCGGUGGCGAAGGCGGAUCUCUGGGCCUUACCUGACGCUCAGGUGCGAAAGCUAGGGGAGCGAACAGG
rnacentral:rRNA from 1 species